GAAAGGUGGGCCCACGCCCAGGAAGAGGAGCCUCACCGCACUUCCCUGCUGCAGGAGGCCUAGAGGAAGUGAAGCAAAGGAAGAAGUGGUCAGCAGGUAUCAUUUCUUAAGGAAAAUGUUCAGGAUGGAAACCUAAAAUACCUUGAGCUUCUCUGGCAUCAGGUCCCCACUUUAUGUUGGACAUAGCUCUAUCUCAUAAUGUCAAGAGCACACAGCUGUUGCUAAGACCAUGGAGGAAUAUUGACUGUUCAAGGAACCACAAGAACGCAAAGAAGGAGGAACAAAUGGGGGAUGAUGAAAUAAACAGGCAGCAGGUGCACAGACUCCUCGCAAUGCAAGGCCACUGCCAGGGAAUGCUGGAGGGGUGAUGCUAGCAAUUGAAGAUUGUCUCUCCUACCCUCUUCAAUGCCUCUUUCAGCAAUAUGAAGUUAAAACCAGAUUAGUGUUGGGUCUGAAGUUCCAAAUCCUGCUGCCUCUGUGAAGUCUUUCUGCUCAUGCUAGAAGCAAUAUCACCUCUUCUAGAAUUGUAAAGUGCCAUUUUCCAUACCACUUAUAAUAUACUGUCUUGUAGAUGUUUUUCUGUCGUCUGUAUUUCAUCCCUCUAAUAGAUGAUAAAUUUCUAGAGGAUGCCUCCCACAGAAAAAGUGCUCAAUAAAUAUCUGUCAUUGGUGAAAACAGAUUAUAGAUGAUAUUUUGUUGGAAGAUUGGAGGCAAAGUCUCAAAGAUAAUAUCAUCCUCUAUGCCACUGAGAGUAUUAGUAAGGCAGUAUUUCUGAAAGAGCACUCCACCACUACCUCUGGGAUUUUCUUGCAAGCUACUGAUACCAUCUUUGCAAGAAUGGAGGCAAACAUUCAGGCUACCAGAAUUUAAUCUCUGUAAUUUCCUUGCCAACAGCCAUAAUAAAUGCUUCUUGUUUUCAGGUGAGGUGAAAUGUGAAAAAGUGUUCAUCAGAAUUGGUGAAAUAUGGCAAUUACAACUUUAUUUAAAACAAUGCACGUCACUUUUUGAAAAUAUUUGAAAACUUCUGCUAUAGUCAAAAGAACCUUGGUCUUAAGGAAUCAGAGGACCUGGGUUGAAUACUAGUUCUCUUGACUACCUAUGGCAAGUAACAUAAACUGUCUUAACUUCCUCUGAGGAAUAAGCAAUUUACCUUGUGGGGUGAUUGCAAGAAUUAAAAGAAAAUUUAAAUUCCACAAAAGCAGAAAUAAUUCUAUCCUGUUUGCCACGAUCUUUCUAUUCUCUCAAGAAGUAACAGGGACCUAGAAAGAAUAAAUGAAACAAUGAAUGAACAGUUAAUACAUAGCAAACUACAUGUAGAACUGUCUGUGUUGGAAUGUUGCCAUGGUGGAAGGCAGUAUGUUCUAGGAGAAAAUGCAGCAAAAAAUGUUUCAGUAAGGAACAUUCUUUAGUCCCUCUCUCUAUUUUUCCCCAGUCAUUUUGUGGUUUUGGCUGCUAUUGGCUUGUAUCUGCUUCCCAAAUGCUAGUAAUUUCUUCCAAUCUAAAGUUGCUUGUUUAUUUUCUUGUAUAUUGUAAAACAAAGGCAACAUAAUUGCAGGCCAGAAAGCUAUUUUCUCACUCUUGAAUUCUUAAAAAUGUCAUUUGUUCUAGGUUUUUUUCGCAUGUAUUUAUUAUUGAAAUAUUAAGAGACACAAAAAACAUGGAAAAGAAAAAAAUCAUUAUUUCAAAUUCCUAACCUAGAGAGAAUAAUUACUAAUACUUUUUCUUACUUAAUUGGCA
rnacentral:lncRNA from 1 species